CUGGGGGGCCCCCCCCCCCCGAGCGGUUUUACCCGUGUCACCCAGGAGAGAAUGCUAAGCUGAGACAUGUAGAAAAAGAUGUUUUGAUUCCACAAAUAAUGAGAGAAAGGGCCAAGGAACUGUGUUCUGACAAAGUGCAAGGGCUUCCCAGAGACAUGCUACGUGAGAGCAAGUUAACGGGAGUGUUCUGAAGAAAUAUCAUUUUUAAUCUACAUAGACUGCUUCUCCUCUCUACUGCUUUGGCCUAUUAAAGCUACGUUAAGCGAUUGCCGGGGAGAAAGGGAGAGUGGCUGGACAGGCAGGGUCUUCUGCAUCCAAGAAAUACUUUCAGCAUUUACUAAAUGCUGUAAAGAAACCGGUCUUCUUAUGGUGGUGAAAUGUCGGCAAGAGAACGCAGCACUGAAGGAUUGUCUGG